GUGGAUUAGAUACCCUGGUAGUCCACGCUGUAAACGAUGAUUACUCGAUGUUGGCGAUAAACAGUCAGCGUCUUAGCGAAAGCGUUAAGUAAUCCACCUGGGGAGUACGCCCGCAAGGGUGAAACUCAAAGGAAUUGACGGGGGCCCGCACAAGCGGUGGAGCAUGUGGUUUAAUUCGAUGAUACGCGAGGAACCUUACCUAGGCUAGAAUGCGCGUGACCGCUCCAGAGAUGGAGCUUUCCUUCGGGACACAAAGCAAGGUGCUGCACGGCUGUCGACAGCU
rnacentral:rRNA from 1 species